CUUCAACGAGCCGAUCCACAGGGGCGUUUCACGGCCCUGCCCGUACGUGGCCAGCAGCGCCUGCGCCUC
rnacentral:antisense_RNA from 1 species